GCCUGGGUGGCGCAGUCGGUUAAGCGUCUGACUUCAGCUCAGGUCACGAUCUCGCGGUCCGUGGGUUCGAGCCCCGCAUCAGGCU
rnacentral:tRNA from 1 species